CCUACGGGAGGCAGCAGUCGGGAAUCUUGCACAAUGGGCGAAAGCCUGAUGCAGCAACGCCGUGUGAGCGAUGAAGGCCUUAGGGUCGUAAAGCUCUGUUUGCGAGGACGAAGGGCGAAGGGUUAAUAGCCCCUAGCCUGACGGUACUUGUACAGAAAGCCCCGGCUAACUACGUGCCAGCAGCCGCGGUAAUACGUAGGGGGCGAGCGUUGUCCGGAAUUAUUGGGCGUAAAGGGCGCGUAGGCGGCCUGGUAAGUCUGCUGUGAAACCUUAGGGCUCAACCCUAAGCGUGCAGUGGAUACUGUCAGGCUAGAGGAUGGUAGAGGCCAGUGGAAUUCCCGGUGUAGCGGUGAAAUGCGCAGAUAUCGGGAGGAACACCAGUAGCGAAGGCGGCUGGCUGGGCCAUUCCUGACGCUGAGGCGCGAAAGCAUGGGGAGCGAACAGGAUUAGAUACCCUGGUAGUCCAUGCCGUAAACGAUGAACACUAGGUGUGGGGGGAGUCGAAUCCCUCCGUGCCGAAGCCAACGCGUUAAGUGUUCCGCCUGGGGAGUACGGCCGCAAGGCUAAAACUCAAAAGAAUUGACGGGGGCCCGCACAAGCAGCGGAGCAUGUUCUUUAAUUCGAUGCAACGCGAAGAACCUUACCGUA
rnacentral:rRNA from 1 species